UUAAGCAGUCAUACAUGAUACAUGCAUUACCACUGACAACGUUGUACAGUGGUGUACUGUGCAAACUGUAUAAUGUAUUGACUAGAGACUUGAUUAUAACACUGACUAUUACCAGUUUACCACUAUAGUCUUAGAUAGGCUAAAACAGACGUGUAGGUUGUAACUUGUCUUAAGUUACUUAACUAACUUGUGUGUUCAGGCCAUCAACUUCAAGCACUCAAGUAAUAAUUAUCGAAGCUUGAAUCUUUAUGUGAUAAGAUUUUGGUAAAGCAUUCCAAAAUAAAAAGUGAACUUUCUCCAAGGUUAUAUUAAUGGGGUCAAAACAAAGCUGCAGUAGUUCCCAAAGUUUGUCAGGAACUGGAGAUGGUCAACCAAUGGAAGUGAUUUCUGAUAGCCAACAGACUGGAUCAAAUAUUGGUGGAAGACAAAGAUUUUCAUCUGGCAUAAGGCAGCGUACUCGAAGCCUUACAAAUGUGGGCAGUGGACAACCUGAGCAAGUACUUGGAUUGUCAUCAGUUCAUGGAGCUGGACUAGGUGGCUCAAGAUCACCAGAUUCAGACUUUGGAUCACCUGAUGAGAUGCUAUCGUUCACUGGGAUGUUUUCUGCUCAUUCACUACCCAUACAGUUGCUCACUUUGAAUGGAAUCAAAUGUCCAGUAUGCUCCAAAAUAGUAGUGUCAGAUGAUGUUGAGUACCACCUGGUCAUGUGCCUCACAAAGCCAAGACUUAGUUAUAAUGAUGAUAUUCUGCAUGAAGACAAAGGAGAGUGUGUAAUUUGUCUGGAAGAUCUUGUACAAGGAGAUACUAUUGCACGUCUUCCUUGCCUUUGUAUAUACCACAAAAUCUGACACUAUAUUGACAUGUCAUUGCUAAUGAAUACUGCAACAAGAAGUGAGACUACACUUUGGUUGCUUGGUUCAGGAAAACUGAACUAACAGGAAGCAAAUUACCUUCAAAUAGAUGUAUUGACAACUGGUUCCAAGUCAACAGGUCUUGUCCUGAGCAUCCCAAUGACUGAUGUUUAUGAACACUAGGAGAUCUUUCAAAACUAGUUUGGACAAAGUUGUUACUUUUGAAGGUAAUGUUAAGAGUGUUUAUAAGGAAUAGACUUGGUGAUAUUGUUUGAUUUUUUUAAAUGACUGGCUAUUAUGUAAAAUCUUCAAUAUUACUUGUGGCAGUUUCUUCGUACUGCCAGCUUCUUGAUACUGAUCUCUUAUUCUUUAUCUUUGAAAACAAUGAACAAAAAAUACUGCUUUGGAUGCUGUGCCUUUUAUAAUACUGAAAAGUGUAAAAGCCACUUCAUUUCAAGCUCUUUUAGAAAAUGUUUUAAGGUUAGAGUUAUCUAUGGAGUUAAAUUUAACUAGUCUUGUAUGUCCUUUUAAGGUGCCAAAUAGGUAUUGUUUUCAAUCAUCUUGCUACUUGGACUAGAAUCAGUUUGAGAGUUUUUAUAGGCUACCUCAGGAUGAAAGGAAAAAACUGUUGUCCUUGUACAGCUUUUGCUUCAACAGGUUUUAUACUUUGUAGUCAUAUACUGCUGUUUGCUAUUUUUAUAAUUUAUUUUUAGUUUAGCAUUACAGUUUUGUAAUUAAAAGUAAUUAAAAAUUCAGCAGGAUGAUGAUGUAAUAAAAGUUGCAGAAUUUUCCUGUUAUUGUGUAUGUAGGAAUGAUUUUAAAAGAAUCUUAAUACGUAUUCACUCAUGAACUAUUUUGAUAACAUAUAACCAACAUUACCUUUAGUGUACAGUAGUAGAAAUUAUAACUUAAUACUAAAUAUUAAUUCUGAUUUUUAACUCUGAGUUGUGGUGAGAAUAAGAAUAAACAAAACUGUUUUUGUAUAGAUUAAUGCUUGUUUUAUAUGUGGUAGUUUUUUUGUAAAAGAAAAAAUAAUAAGUAUUUUUUAACAAACAUUUUUGCUUUGGAUAGUUGUGCAAGAAUAUAACUGUUAACUUGGUCUAAAGUUGCUUUAAGUAAACAUAUAUAACUUAAGCUUUUUACAUUAAUUUAUGUAAAGGAUUUAACAAUAAUUUAAAAUUGUCUCAUUUUGAGUUUACUUAAUGAUUAAGUUACAGUAAGGAAGAUUUAUUUUUAGAAAAUGAUUGUACCAGUGAUCAAAACACCAUACCUGUUCUAAAAACAGAUUUUCCUUACUGUAAAAGCUGUAACUUGUAAUAAAAUAAUAAUUUAAAAUGUUCACUUUCACUAUUAAUUUAGUUUUAAGACAGUGUUAUAAUAAAAUCCCUCCAAGUAUAUCUGUAUAAACCAAUGGGUAAUAAUGAUAGAACAGAGUCAGUUAGGUCUAAUUUGUAGUAAUUGUUUUCAGUCCAAAAUAUAUUGUCACAAGAGAGAGUAAAUUCAACAAAUUAUUUAAAAAAGACAAACUGUGGAUGAUGGAUUGCUGCCAUUGUUGAAAAGUAUGUUAUAUUAAUAUAUAACAUUUGCUACUUAAUAAUUUUUAAUCAAAUUAUAUUUAUAAAUUAUAACAUAUAUUUUUAAAUAGUUACUUGAAAUUUCUACAAAAUCUAAUAGCUGCUAAGGACUUUCACAUAAAAAAAAAACAUCUUAGAAGAAUUACAAAGUUUAAAACCUAUUUGUUUAUCAGCUGUGUGACUGUACAGUAAGACUUAUGUAUGCUAUGUAUAAGAGAAGAAGGUUUUGUUAUUUGUGUUAGUUGUGUUUAAAGGCUCAUUUGAUAGCCAGGAAUUCAGAGAUAAUCCUAAAAUUUCUAAGUUUAAUCAGGUGGCAUGCAAGCAUUGUCAGUUAUUUUUUCUGUUGUUGACAAAACUGUUUAACAGUGCGUGAUUAGUGAUCACUCAUGGGAAAAUUUGAUCCUUUUGAUUUGUAUAUUGAUAAUUUUUUUUUAUAUAAAAAAAAAACACUACCAAAGUAGCAGCUCGUACCAUACAUUAGAGCAGACUAUUUUGUUGAAGUACAGGGGGUCUGUGUUUAGUGGCUGUAUUGCUUCAGUAAAAUAUACUGAAUACCUAGUGUACAAGACAUAAGGGAAGUGUAAUGUUAAAAUAAAGUAUGAAACACAAAAUAUAUUUUAAUACUCAUAAUUUUAAUGUUGAAAAAAGGAGUACUAGUGUAACUCUACACUUCCCUCUUCCCAAGACAUAUAUUUAAUCAAUAAAUAAUGUUAUUUAAAACAGUAUGUGAAUAAUAAUAGUAACACUCUCUUUUGUAAUGUUGUGCUAUAGUUGAAGCUCCAUAUUUAUUUUCUAAUCUAACUGUUAGUGUUACUCAGUUCUGUUUUGCUGUUCAUUUGUUAUUAUGUUUAUUAGGUCUGUUUAAUUAAUGAAUAUUUUUGUGUUUAAAAGACUAUGACUGUUUACCUCCUUGGAAUGGUUACUGUUAAAUAAAGUUUGCUUAGAAAAUCUGUAGUUCUUAUAACUGGACACAAAGAAGUAUUUUAGCAAUGCAAGAUUACUGGAUGUAGCUAUAUGACUAUUGCACGUAGUGUAAAAUAUGUGUACAUUGACAACGUGCAUUUUUUAUGUAAGAUAUAGAAACUUGAUUACUGUUCUAUAUAAUGUAUUUUUAAACUGCUUGUGACAAUUUUAUUUCAUUUCAUUUAUAUAAAUUACAUGUAAAAUAAAAGGUUUUCACAACUAGUAGUUGUGGUCCCAUCAUCAGUAUAUUAUGAAAAUUAGUACUAUUGAAGGUUCAGACUUUCAUACGAUAAUGUGUUCCAAACUUUCGAAGGUCAAAAUCUACACUUUGUUACAGCUCUAGUGUUGGGAUAAAAUUUUAACCCUACUUGUACAUUGUAUCAUGUGCUCGCUUAAAAACUCAUAUUAUUAUAGUGGAAUUUGAGAUGUAUUAUAUUCCCUUUUCUUUCUUUUUUUGCUGUUUUCAAGGCUGCUUUUGUUUUGUGAAAAUAUUUAGUGAAUUAAUUGAGCAGUAGUUUUAUGGUUCUUGCUUUAAUAAGAGGAAAGUGUGGAAAGUUCAUAGUUGUGAUAAGGUUAAGUAGUGGAUGUUGAAAUUUGAAGUCGCAUUUUGGGUAGUGAGCUUUGUUUUAUGAAUGCGCCUUUAUUUCUGAAAAACUGCUUUGUUGAUGAAAAAUAACUGAAAAAACUCCAGAAACGAUUAGGUCCCAUUUUGAGUAAAUUGUGGAGUGAGUGAGUACUGUGGAACUAAGGGAACUUCAAUUAAGCUGCAAUUAAUGGUUUACACCAUACAAAUCUUGACUAUCUUUAUCCUGAUUCCAUUGUUCUAAUUUGCUUAAGGGGCAAUAAAUAAUACACACACACAAUGGAAUAUACUGAAAUUAUUAAUGCAUGUUAUAUAAAGGUUUUGUUAAAUAUAGUAUACUCAGAACAUAAUUUUAAGAUGGUAAGCAUAAUAAUCUUACAACAGGAUGUUGCCUAGCGUAAGGUGCUAAAUAGUGAGUGAUUAAAAAUGAUCUUGUUGGUUUUGAAACAAUUGUAUUAUACCCAUUUCAUUAGUUGUGUUUUUUAUAGAUUUUUAAGCUCAUUCUAAUCUAUGAAUAAACUUAUGAAAACAUGAAAUUAUGUACAUUGAUCAGGUAAAUGCUGAUACUAUUAACAUAGACCAUAGCUCUAAGUAAAAAAUAGUAAGUUUUCAAUAUUGGCCUUUGUAAUUACCAUUGACCUUUUGAGUGAUAAAAAUAGUUUUCAUCCAUAUAGUUGUCAUUUUGUUGAGUAAGUAAUUUGUGGAAUUUCAUGGACUGAGUUGGUGUUUAAAGUUUUACAAAUGAAUACAAAGAUAGGGGAAAAUAAGUUUUUGAAGUACAGUUUGAGGUGAUGCCUUUACUGGCAUUUGGAAGCAUUCUAUUUUUCAAUUAGAAAGUUGAAUAAGUGGUCAUGCUGGGUUCCUAACACCAGUAGUUUUUUGUAUCACUUUAUUUUUCAUGCAGAAAAAUAUUGGAUGUUUUAGGAUUUACAUUAAUCUGAAUAGACCUUAUGUUUUUAUUUAGUUAGAGCUUUGGAAAUGAUAGUAAAAUAGAGAAGAGCAAAAGCAAACAUUAGUUGUUCAUUUAACUGGUCAGGUUGUGUGGUAAAAUUGAAUUAAGCUGUUGUAAAACAGUUAAAAGCACACUCAAACACUAUAAUAUUGGAUAGCUUUGGUGUUUCACCAUUAAACUUAGUGGAAUUACGAAAUGCCUGCUGCUGUAUUCAAUACAUAUGUAAACUUUUUUAACAGAAUGCUGAAAAUUGUUACUAUAAAAAAUGCAUAUAAUUUACUUUCAUGUAAAAAAUUCCAGUUCAUAUUUUAUUAUAAUUUUUUUUUCUGUGAUAUACUUUAUUGUUGUAUGACUGUAUCAAAACUAUAUUGUUGAUGUUGCCAACUGUGUUGUUUUAGCCAGUGUAACUUUAGGCUGUCUUUAAUAUCACAUUUUAACAUUAACUGUGUACAAGAUAUUGUAUAGUUUGUUGUAGUGGUCUAAAAUGCCUAAACUGGCAAGCAGUGAGGUUUUUUAGGUCUAAUAAAAUUGGUUAAAAUCAUGCUUACUUAUUCAAAAUUCAUAAAGGCCUAAUUAUGAGGUAAAAAAAAAAAUGUCACGUGUGAUUUUAGUUUUCACUUGUUUUCUUAAUUUGAUUAUUACUCGUAUUCUUGGGUAAUUGGGGUUAUGGUAUAUUUGAUUGUGGACAAAUGACAUUUGAUCAAAAUUUUUUAGUACUGUAUGAAUAGAUAUGAUAUAAAAGUGUCAAAUCAUCACUCAAUAAAAAGAAAAAUGUUAGUUGUUUUA